AAAAUUCAUGACCUUAUUGGAACUCAUACCGAUAUUCCAGCUCCAGACAUGGGAACUAAUUCACAGGUAUGCUAUGCAAUUUCAGUGUCUUUACCAUCGUUCACUGCCUUCCUAUGUUCUGCUACUAACUCUAUCUGAAACCAUUUUCCAUACAGACCAUGGCAUGGAUCUUUGACGAGUACUCAAAAUUCCAUGGUCACUCCCCAGCUGUUGUCACAGGGAAGCCCAUUGUAAGUAUUACCACUAUAACAGAAAAUUAUCUGCUGCAUAUAAACUCUUUACACAUGAUUACUAAUAUGAUCACAAUUUGGGCCUAUUUGUUAGGAUCUUGGUGGAUCAUUAGGUAGGGAUGCUGCCACUGGGCGGGGUGUAAUGUACGCUACUGAGGCUCUCCUGGCCGAAUAUGGGAAGUCUAUUUCUGGAUCGACCUUUGUUAUUCAGGUGAGCUGUGAUAAACUGUUGAGUUCUUGAAUGGUAGAAAGAUAGUAGCGAGUGCCAUGGUAAAAAACCAAAAUAAGUCUGUUCAAACAUAGUGCUACUGUUAGUAGCCAUCAUAAUGUAAAAUUGUGCUUAUUCUAUGAUGAAAUCCUGCAGGGAUUCGGUAAUGUUGGUUCAUGGGCUGCACAACUCAUCCAUGAGAAAGGUGGUAAGGUAAUUGCACUUGGAGAUGUAUCAGGCACAAUCAGAAACAAAGCAGGGAUAGACGUACCUGCUCUGAUGAAGCACAGAAAUGAGGGUGGUCAGUUGAAAGACUUUCAUGGCGCUGAAGUCAUGGAUGCCUCAGAGUUGCUAGUGCAUGAAUGCGAUGUCCUCCUCCCAUGUGCCUUAGGCGGAGUUCUUAACAGGUAAUUGCUAUUAUCCUUUUGCGCUCUUGAUGUGGCCUAAAUCAUUUUCACUAGAUCUCACCGUACGUCACGGUUUCCCCCCUUUUUUGUUACAUGUUUUGUUAAGUGUUUUCUUCUGCUAGUUUUAUUGUGAAUAGCAAACAUCAUUGAUGUGCGAAUAUUGUGAUAAUCCUGACUUAACGAAUUCUGCAGAUAAGUUGAUGCAUUUUUUAUUCAAUCUUUGUACCUUAUGAGCAACCUAUUUUCUGAUUGCUUCCUGGAUAUAUACUUAUAGUUUAGGGUAACUGAUGAUUUGCUUUAAUAUCUGAAGGGAAAAUGCCCCUGAUGUUAAGGCCAAAUUUAUAAUCGAAGCUGCUAAUCAUCCAACCGAUCCAGAAGCUGACGAGGUAAGAGUACUGUACCACCAAACAACUUACGAUAAAUUUUCAUCCUUGAGAAAUAUAAAAAAUACAACCAUUGUUCAAUUCUGUUUUCUGAAUGUCUCACUUUUGUUGUAUGUGCUGUAGAUUCUUACCAAGAAGGGAGUGGUCGUGUUGCCUGAUAUCUAUGCUAAUGCUGGUGGUGUGAUCGUUAGCUAUUUUGAGUGGGUUCAGGUAAUUGAGUAUACGAUGGCGGCCUUUGCCAUCUCAUUCCAAAUUAUCUUUUUGCUUGAGCCGGCAGUUUCCUUAUGCUUUUUUGAUGGGGCAGAACAUUCAAGGAUUCAUGUGGGAAGAAGAAAAGGUGAACAUGGAGCUCCAUAAGUACAUGAACAGCGCGUUCCAGAACAUCAAGGCCAUGUGCAAGUCUCAAGAUUGCAACCUUAGGAUGGGAGCAUUCACCUUGGGAGUGAACCGGGUUGCUCGCGCCACCAUCUUGAGGGGCUGGGAGGCAUGAGGAAUUCCAGAUUCCUUAUCGAAUAAUCCAUGCCCGACACCGUGGUGGAUGACAGUUCUUAUAUCCACCAUCAUUGAUUUGGUAAAUUCAUCAUAAGUUGCCGGCAUGCCAGGAGUCCAAUUGAAAUAAUUUUCGGUGUACAUGGCAGAGAUGAUGGGUUUGUUCUUUCUGUUAGCUAAUUAUCUGCCCUGGGUUGCCAACUAUGGUGAUCUAGUUCUGUGUGAUUGUAAACCUUCAGAGUUGUUGAAUGUUUACCAAAAGUCUCUGGAUUUUAAUAUCAAAAAGGUUAUUUUGGCAUCAUUGGUUUCAACAUUUCUGGUCUGAGAUUUGAUGGCCCCAAAUGUAAGAGAUUACUUCUGCAAGAUUCAUGUAACUGAGAGUUUCAACAACUUAUGGCAGACAAAUAUCAAAGAACCAGAACAAUUGCAUCUGUUUCUCUUUUUGCAUGAGCUGACGAGAUUCAUACAAAUUCAGUCUCAAGCCAAACCCUCGGGGCCUCGUUGGACGGAUGGUGGUAUUUGUUCAGACUUGAACUAAACUGGAGCUCCGAAAAGAAAUAUCCCUACCUAGUUCAAACAACCCCUAAAACUGCUGAAGUUCAACAACAACAUAAAGAAAAACCUAAAACUACCGAUGAUGGAUAGAACACAAAAGCUACCGUCCUGUGCACUGCAUUUAGGAACUGAAGAGGUGUUCUUUCAACUAUGUGACGAUGUUUCAUGAGCUGCCAUGCUUCAGAACUACGGCGCCUUUGUUGCCCCUGGCACCUGGGCAGGCAAUGCGAGGACACAAAACUUCGGAUUAUUUGGUACCUCGUCAUAAAAGUUCAGCAGAAAUUGUUUGCGAGGUUUGCGGCGCGGCUUGACCAAUGCUGACCGAGCCUCAUUGGGUGUAAUUUCAUCCGCGGCGGCAUCCAUCAAUGUCGGUUUGCGCAACCAGCCACGGCCCUUGGGCGGAGCAGAUGCAACGUUGCCACCAGCCUUCUUGUCUGCAAUUGAUGUUGAGGCAGAGCCGCAGGUGGAUUUUGCCGGCUCUGAUCUGCAGGUCCGACGACGGCGCUUGUGCUUCACAAAUGGAGCUUCGGUGUCACCCUCCUUGUCGGAGGCUAGGGCCGGAGCAGAGUUUUCGUCAGCUGCCACAAGGGGCAGUUUGCAGGGCUGGGUGCUGCACUCUGGCGUACUGAAUGCUGCAGGUUCCUUGGCCAAGAGCGGCCGCUUGGCUGCUGGAGCCUCGCCGCCAUCUUCCUCCGUGACUAAUGCUGCACCAGAGCCGUCGUUGACGAUCACAAGUGCCAGCUCGCGAGGUUCCCCAUGGUUCUUAUCAGUGGCGGAUGGAGCCUCAUUGUUGUCUUUCUUGUCCGUGACGAGCGCUUCGCCCGGGACGUCGGCCGCCCCUACCUCCGUCAGAAGGCGAGACCGGCCACGGCGUUUGGGCAUCGCGGAUGGCGACCCGCUCACAAACUUCUUGCCAGAAGCCGGCUUGGGCGGCAAGCCAUCCUUCCGAGGCCGACCGCGGCCGCGCUUGGCCCCUGCCGCCGGCGAGCCAUCCUUCUUAGGCGGACCGGGCCCGCGCUUGGCCCCUGUCAUCAGAGGCCCAGCACUCACCGCCACCGCAGCGGCCUGCCAAUCAUCCCUCCUAGGCCGACCGCGACCACGCUUGACCACCACCAGCGAGUCAUCCUUCCUGGGCCGACCGCGGGCGCGCUUGGGCUCUGUCGGCGGAGGCCCAGCCUUGGCCGGCGCAGCCGCCGCCGCCAGGACCUCGGUGAGUGCGAGCUCGGGCUGGGGCUCGUCGUCGGAGCAGCAAGAGUACCGCCCAGGCGCGGCGCAGACGAAGAGGCCCUCGGCGACGUGCUUGGCGAGGUAGUAGCGGAGGAACCUGUCGUGCGCGGCGGGGACGCCGGGGUACCUGUCGCGGAUGAAGCCCGAGAUGGCGGACUCCGCCGAGCCGCCGUCCUCGCCCAGCGCCUGGAUCGCCUCUUCGAUCAUCUGCAACCAGACGAGGACGCAAACGUCAGCCAGCGGCGGCAGCCCAUCCAAACCCCAUUGCCAUUGAACAACCAACCAGAUUGAGCGCAAGCGAUUUCUCCUCACAUCGGAGACGAUGGUCGAAUUUUUCUUUCCGAAUCAAUGAGGAGCAUCCGUCGCUGGCGAUGCUCAAUUAGUGAUUUCCUAAUUCGAUUCAGGUGGGUGGGUGGAGAUUAAAGAGCAAAUCCAACUGUUCUUCCGGUGGAGAGAGAGAGAAUCGACCGAAUAAGCGGGGAGGAAUAGGUAGGCGAUUAAUCGGCCGGGGAGGAGUGAUUACCCAUGAAUACGGUGGGUGAUCCGGCGUGGGAUCCCGGCGCUUGGGCACGGCGGCGGCGGCCGCCGCCGACGAGGACGGCUCCCCCAGCGUCGCUUGCCCCGCCGCGACGGCCAGCAUUGCGCGGCGGGGGCGGGCGGAUUGGUGGGAGCGAGGGAGGGGCAGGAGACCAGGGGCGGAAAGGGGAGGGCGCAAAUCUAGAAGAGACGAGAGGCAGGUUUAAGGAGGGGGAGAAGAGAAGGAAGCGGAGGAACGCGUCUGGUGUUUCUGGGUUCCGGAGAAAGGAAAGCCCGCCUGUGUUCGGACCAUAUUGCCCUUCCUGUAGGCGAUUCGCCUCUUCUCUUCUCCCCCCGGAAGAUGUUGGGUGGUGAUAUUUCGCAGCAAAAGGCACGAGAUCGAAUCGCCAUGGGAUGGGCUUUUCCUUCGGAGUUUCGAUCAAAACGUUUGGCUUUGUUGAGCAAGGACAUGGUUUGGGUUGGGUAACGCUGCACUGCAGGCUCACCUAACCUUUUUUAUGCCACGUUUUGCGACGGAGUAGCAACAGUGGCGUCCUGGCGUGUGCCAAGGAUUGACCGGCGGCCGUCCCGUACCGUGUCUGUCAGUGUUACUGUUAGUCAGCUGCUGCCCCGUAGGGCUGUAGUGUUACUGUAGUGCAGUAGAACGUUAAUUAAAAAAAGUACUCCUUUCAUCGUUAGAGCAACUCCAGCGCGCCGAUCCAAAGGGACGGCGUUUUUGUCCGUUUUCUGUCUGUUUGGGUCGGCCGCUCGCUCGGCGUCCGCCCUCUUUAAGAUUUGGGUCGGCAAUACGCCCAACGGCCGCGACCCAUUUCAUGUCCGCACGUAAAUAUUGAAAAGGAUCCGCAGCCAUAGAUCAUGCCAGCGGUCAUGUCGUCACCCAUAGUUCAUGCCAGCAUAAUGCCAGCGCCGACAUACAAUGCCAGCUUCAGAAAAACACCGCAUAGUUCAGUCGGCACACAUGCCAGCACACAAAAAGAGACGGGAGUUCGACCACGCCACCGCGGCCGUGGUCAUGCCAGCACACUUGUCGGCAUAAAAAAAAGGAUGGCGUUCGCCGCCAUAGGUCACUCGUCGUUGAACUUGAGCAUGUCGGCCUGCAUCUUCUCGAACCACGGCCUCUUCCUUGGCGAGACGGUGUUGAGAUCCAACUUCAUGAUUUUCACACCCAUCAUCAUGCUAGCGAGAGCCACUUCUUUCGCCUUGGUCUUGGCAUUGACGGCCUCGAUCUCUAGCAUCUUGGCUUGCUUCUCUGCCUCCAUCUCAAGCAUCCUUGUUUGCUUCUCCGCCUCCAUUUCAAGCCUCCUCUUUUGGAUCUCCAUGAAGGCAUUCAUUUGUUCUCCCUUGUCUUGCCGGCGCUUCUCCUCCCUUGAGUCCUUCUUGGUCAUCAUGUCCUCCACGGCUGCGAUCAAGGAAUUCGACGCUGCAUCCCGCUUGUCCUCCUUCUUGGAGUUGGUCUUCCCCCGCGGCCGUGGCUUCUCACCGUCCCCAACCUCCUCCACGACCUUCUUCCCCCCCACGCGACAUGAAGGCGGCAUAUUGCGUCUUGAACUUCUCCUCGUCUUUGAUGACUCUCCAACAGUGCGAGAGGUUGAAGGACUUGUCAUUGUGUUGGACCUUGAAUGCCUCCAAAGCUUGGAAUGCCUACAGAUGAAUUGCACGUAAGCAUAUUGGCAAAUGGAUAUGGAAAUGGACAUGCAAGCAUAAACGAAAUGACACAAAGAGGGGUGCUUGCUAGCAUACCAUGUCUUGCAUGUCGAUGCCACUAAUGGGGCGUGCCUUGAUGCUCUCAAGAGUGGCACAAAACUUGUUGCACUUUUAUUGGAUCACCUUCCAACGCUUCGAAAUGGACACCCACCCACGCGUGCUAUGUAUUUGGUACGACGGAAACUUCUUGCGCUCAUGGAACUCGCGAUAGACACGAGUCCAAAAGGUUAAUGCCUUUUGUUCGGCGCAGAUCUUGGGGUCUUUCCCAAUGUACCUCCAACACUCACAAAGGAGCUUGUGCUGGGCCGCCGUGUAUGCCUUGGUCUGCAUGCUCUUGCGCUUCUUCCCCCCGGUGGCUUGGUUGGCCAGCUUGUCCUCGAACAAAGGCUCCCCUUUGAUGUCCAAUUCAUCCUCUUCCUGGAGUCCGUAGUCCUCUGGAAUCUCGUGGUCGAGCGGGAAACCGUCCAGGUCUAGGCCGACCUGAUCAUGCAUGAAGGCGACCUGAUCUUGAUCAAAGGUGGACGGCGUGAAUGUCCCUCGACGUCCUGGCUUUGUGUCUCGUCGAGAUCGUAGCCAGCCCCGGCGGCACCGCCAGCGGUACCGUACCACCCUCGAAGAUGAUGUUCUGCAUGUAGUCGUCGUCGCCGAAGGCCUGCAUUCCGUCAAACAGGUUGCAUGCACUCGACAACACGUCGGCUGGCAUGUGCCGCACGCGUUUCCUCGCCCCUCUGGAUGACGAGCCACCAACCAUUGGGGUGGCGUUGAGGUCGACGGGCGCGGGCGUGGAAGGCGCCACCACGCUCACCUCAGGGGAGCGUUCUCGGGAGAGCCGGGAAGCUUGCGGGUAGACGUGGAAGCCCGGCAUCGGCUGCAUCGCCGACGCGCGGGGCGGCUCGGGCAGCACCAUCUGAGGAAACGCAGAUGAGCCGGUGCUGGCAGCGGCCGCGACGGCAUUGACGAGGCCAUGCUGGCCAGGGCUUAACCCUAGGUACAUCAGCGCCUCCCUUGUUGCCGCCGCGACGCGGGCGUUGGUGGUCUCCUGCUGCGCGGCAGCGGCGAUGGUGGUCGCCACGAUGGCUUCCUUCCUUGCGUCUGCCGCGUGCCUCCGGCCCUUUCUCUUGGUCGACUUCCUUGCCCGUUCCUCGUCCGUCAUCUUCUUCUUCAGCUUGGUCGCGGCGGUGGUCUUGCGGGGGGCGCGAGGCUUAUCUUUGCUGGAGGGGGCGGUCAUGAUGCCGGACGAGGCGAGGGAGUCGAGGCCGACGGCAGCAUCGAGGUUGUCGUCCAUGGCGGGGCGGCGGGAGCGUUCGCGGGCGGGAGGGUUUUGGGAAAGUCGAGGGAAAUGAUGAAGGGGUGCCACCGACUGGCGGGCCAAUGGGAGGAGUAGGCGGGCACUGCGCGUGUUCGCCUCGUGUCUGCGCCGACGCAGAUGGGGCUCAAAAAUAGGCCGGGAAUGGGUCGGCAGGCGGACAAAAAGCGGACGCGCGUCCGUUUGGAUCGGCGCAUUGGGCCGACUUUUCUGUCCACACCGACCUAAAUGGACACGCGUGAACGAAAUGGGUCGCCGCGUUGGAGUUGCUCUUACGAGAGCUUUUUGACUCUAAGUGUAGUAUAAAAAAUGUCUUACAUUGAGGGAGUAUUACUAUAUUAGCUCUGCCUUUAUCAGGGUAGUUUGUACAUCUAGAUCCUAUGUUAUUGAUCUUACACGGAGAUACGUGUGGGUAGUUUCCUUUUCUUUUUUGUGUUUAAUUGAAUCACUUAGAUGUGCAAUAACUAGAGCACGUCUAGAUGUACCCUAGACAGACUUGUAUACCUAUAAAAUGGAGUAUAUGAAAAGGCAUCGCCAAGAACCUUCUGUUAAGGGCAUUUUGAACGUCGCCCAUCAUCAGAAUGAACACCCCAAACAUCCUUGACGUGCCCGCAUGCAGCGGAUAGGGAGGCGGCUAGAUGUGUCUAGAGCUCAGUCAAUUGAGACUUCAAAAUGUUGUGUCCGUUUUGCAAGCAACGACAGUUGGCGCUGUUACCAGUGUGACUAAAUGCUACAACCAUCAAUGGCGGGUGUUGCGACCGGUGAGACGGCGUGCUAUGAAAUAUGAAUGAUGAUGCCAGAUGUUCUUACCGGUGAGACGACAUGCUGCAACCAGCAAUGAAGGAUGCCGCAACCCGUAGGAAUAAAUGUUGUGACAAAAUGAUGCGACGUCCAUUGGACGGUGCCCAGUCCAGCAUGAAUGUCAGUAAAAAGUCAACGAUUGACCUGAGACUUGGUUAAAUCUCAGUUGAUCAAUUGAGACUUCAAAAUGUUGUGUCCGUUUUGCAAGCAACGACAGUUGGCGCUGUUACCAGUGUGACUAAAUGCUACAACCAUCGAUGGCGGGUGUUGCGACCGGUGAGACGGCGUGCUAUGAAAUAUGAAUGAUGAUGCCAGAUGUUCUUACCGGUGAGACGACAUGCUGCAACCAGCAAUGAAGGAUGCCGCAACCCGUAGGAAUAAAUGUUGUGACAAAAUGAUGCGACGUCCAUUGGACGGUGCCCAGUCCAGCAUGAAUGUCAGUAAAAAGUCAACGAUUGACCUGAGACUUGGUUAAAUCUCAGUUGACUAAGUUUUAGCAACCUGUCAAAUAUUUGCCCCUGCUUUCUUAUCCUAUAUCGGAACACUUAAAUAAGUAAACAUAAAUAUCAUCCUUGGUUCACAAUCAUGUUUUGCAAAUAUUCCAAUGCAACAAUAGAUACAAAUAUUAUAAUCCAAACAUGAAGUUUUGUAAUAAAAUAUUUAAAUUUGAAUUCAAUUUAUUCAUUUUUUUAGUUUUCCCCUCGAACACUCCACAAAUGCUCAACUAGACCAUUUUGAAGUUGAUCGUGAGUUGCUCGAUGGCGAAUAUGUUGAUGCAUUUGGAUAAAUUCCUCUAACGUCGUUGAAUUUUGCUUUGGAAGUUCGAUGGGAUCACUGAUGGGGUUACAACCAGGGGUGCCUCACCUAAAGGAAGCUGGCCUAGCGCCCCCUAGGCCGGUUGUGCCAUGGGCCAAUCAAUCUGGAACAUCGCCUUACAGCGUGAUGGGCCCAGGCGAAUUGGAGUACAGGAUAAGGUAACUGGCAUCUGGAGGACUACUUACAACCUAUGACCUAGUUCCCGGUACCCAUACAAGUCUGGGUCAGGCUAGUCGAAUAAACACAUUAGAAUCUUAGAGCUUUGCUCAAUUCCAUGAUCUUUCUAACCCUUAUACAAUCAAUAUGCACGAGCGGGAGUAGGUUGUUACAUUGUCAACCGAGGGCCUGAACCUGUGUAAUACUCUGCCCGUGUUAACAUCCAAUAUACUCGUCUAGCUCGGUACACCAUUGAGGGGUCUUCCAGAAAAUACCCCGACAUUGGUGCGUCGGGCGUGGGCUGUAUUAGGCAAGCCCAAAGAUCCAAUGGUUUCUUCAGUUGGAGUCAAUGUCGUGAUAUCAGCCAAGAUCUUCAUGUUCGGUUUGAUGUCCUUCAUUGCCGAGUCAGCGGGCUAUCUCGGGCUCGUUGAGACCUGCGCUGUAGGUCGGAUUGACCACUUUUGCAAUAUCGGAUUUAUUAGUGGUUCAUGCAGCGAGCUUCUCCUCCAGGGCCUAGUUCCUAGCCUGGCCGAGGAGCGACUAGCAAACUUCAUCAACCCAUGGACUCCGUGCAUGAAAGCCUCAGGCACUGCCCAUGGACUCCGUGCAUGAAAGCCUCAGGCACUGCCCAUGGACUCCGUGCAUGAAAGCCUCAGGCACUGUACCACUAUGGACUCAUCACUGUUAUACUGAUAGACAUUUCUUUGAUUCUCCAUGGUGUUAUCGCCAGGGGCACCUCGAAGACCUGCUUACAGAAUAUAUUCUUUCUUAGCACUCCUGAAGAUAAUCUUGAGGCUACGAACCCAGUCUGCAUAGUUACUGUUAGACAUAGUCAACUUUUCCUUCUCGAACGGUGGUGCUAAGUUAAAGGUGGUGUUGCGCGCCAUUUUAUCUUUAACGAAAAUAUGCAUAUUGUUUAAACAAUGUUCAUAAUUAAUUCCAACUAAAAUUAACUACUAUUUAAUCUAGGGUGUGCUCCCACUAAAAUCAAUAUCACUCAUAGUUGAUUAUUGUCAAUUCAAGAUCCAUGAUAACCCACAAGUAUAGGGGAUCACAACAGUUUUCAAGGGUAGAGUAUUCAACCCAAAUUUAUCGAUUCAACACAAGGGGAGCCGAAGAAUACUCACGAGUAUUAGCAUCUGAGUUGUCAAUUCAACCACACCUGAAAGACUUAAUAUCUGCAGCAAAGUAUUUAGUAGCAAAGUAGUAUGGAAGUAAGGGUAACGAUGACAAAGGUAACAGUAACAGUUUUGUAGUGAUUGUAACAGUAGCAACAACAAAGUAACUUAGCAAAGAUCAAUAUGUGAAAAGCUCGUAGGCAAUGGACCGGCAAUGGUAAUUGUGUUGGAUAAUAUUCAUCAUGUAGCAAUCAUAACCUAGGGUGACACAGAACUAGCUCCAAUUCAUCAAUAUAAUGUAGGAAUGUAUUCCAUAUAUAGUCAUAUAUACGUGCUUAUGGAAAAAAACUUGCAUGACAUCUUUUGUCCUACCCUCCCGUGGCAGCGGGGUCCUAAUGGAAACUAAGGGAUAUUAAGGCCUCAUUUUAAUAGAAAACUAGACCAAAGUAUGGAAAGUUUCCAGAUUACUAUAGACUGUUAUGUUUUAAACAGAUUUUGUUUUCUAUGUGUUGUUUGCUUAUUUUGAUGAAUCUAUGAGUAGUAUCGGAGGGUAUGAACCAUGGAAAAGUUGGGAUAUAGUAUAUAUAACACUAGUAUGAACUUAGAAUGAGUUCAUAACAGUACCUAAGUGGUGAUUUUAUUUUCUUAUACUAAUGGAGCUUACGAGUUUUCUGUUGAGUUUUGUGUUGUGAAGUUUUCAAGUUUUGAGUAAAGCUUUGAUGGACUACGGAAUAAGGUGUGGCAAGAGCCUAAGCUUGGGGAUGCCCAAGGCACCCCAAGGUAAUAUUCAAGGGCAACCAAGAGCCUAAGCUUGGGGAUGCCUCAGAUGGCAUCCCCUCUUUCUUGGUGGUUCAUUGGUAACUUUACUUGGAGCUAUAUUUUUAUUCACCACAUGAUAUGUGUUUUGCUUGGAGCAUCAUUUUCUUUUGUUUAUAUUUUCUUGCUGUUAUUCAAAGACAUGUUUUAUAUCUUUUAGUUCAAUAAAAAAAGUCAAGUAUAGCCUUUACCAUGCUUAUUUUACAAGUCUAUACGUUGAUGUUUUGAAAACAGAAAGGUUUCUGUUAUGUUUUGAAUAUUGGUGAAUAGUCAGAACAUGAUAAAAUCUUGAAAUUUUGACACAAUGAGUAACAACAAAUUUUUAUAGUGUGGUAAUUUUUCAGAAUUUUUGGAGUUAGUGAAGUAUGAUUGCUCUUGCAUUCUUUACAGACUGUCCUGUUUAUACAGAUUGUUGUUAUGUUUGCAUAUGUUUGCUUGUUUAAUGAUUCUAUUUGAGGAUAGGAGUGUUAAAUAUGCAGAUACAUUUAAUAGGUAAUAUCAAAUAAUAAUUUAGUAAUUUGCUACAGUAGAGAAUGGUAGGGUCAUUGCGUUGAUUUAUACUAACUUAUGUCAUGAUUUCUUGUUGAGUUUUGUGUGGAUGAUGUUUUUAAGAUUUAGGGAAACCGUGAUAUAAAAGGAAUUAAGGAGACACAAAAGCUCAAGCUUGUGGAUGCCCAAGGCAUCCCUAAUUAAUAUUUCAAGAAGUCUCAAGCAUCUAAGCUUGGGGAUGCCCCAGUUGGCAUCCCACCUUUCUUCUUCAACAACUAUCGGUCAGUUUUGGUUGAGCCUAAGUUUUUGCUUCUUCACAUGAUAUGUGCUACCCUUGAAAUGUCAUUUUAUUUUGUUUUGCUUGCUGUUUGAACAAUAUCCCAAGAUCUAAAAUUCUUAAAUGUUAGAGAGUCUUCACAUAGUUACAUAAUUAUUUGACUACUCAUUAAUCUUCACUUAUAUCUUUUGGAGUAGUUUGUCAUUUGAUCUAGUGCUUCACUUGUAUCUUUUUAGAGCACAGUAGUAGUUUUAUUUUGAAGAAAUUGAUGAACUCUCAUGCUUCACUUAUAUUAUUUUGAGAGUCUUUAGAACAACAUGGUAAUUUGCUUUGGUUAUAAAAUUAGUCCUAAUAUGAUAGGCAUCCAAGAGGGAUAUAAUAAAAACUUUCAUAUAAGGUGCAUUGAAUACUAUGAGAAGUUUGAUUCCUUAUGUUUGUUUUUUAGAUAUGAGUAUGAUGAUAUUAGAAUAAUGCUAGUGAGUAGUUGUGAAUUUGAGAAAUACUUGUGUUAAGGUUUGUGAGUCCCGUAGGAUGCACGUAUGGUGAACCGUUAUGUAACGAAGUUGGAGCAUGAGAUAUUUAUUGAUUGCCUUCCUUAUCAGUGACGGUCGGGGACAAGCGAUGGUAUUUUCGGACACUCAGUGGAAGGCGGGGCUGGAAUUUAAGAUAUGGAGCUGAUGUGUAAAUCGAACUCUUGGUUAGUUAAACGAAUAUAUUUUCAUGCCAGGCUAUUCGAAGAGCGAGUGGAGAAUUAGAAAGGAUAUAGAAAAUUGCAAGAUGCGGGUAUCGAACACCAUAAAGGGCCUUCAUGCGUGAGUCGAAGCCUUCACUGUGCCCUGUUGCACGCCUGCGCCUUUGCUUCAGAGAGCUGUGGGUUGGGGCCUUCCAUGGAACCUUGAAGGGCGAGGAUCCUGCUGACAAAGCUUUAUGCUUGGGGGGUGGGGGGGGUCAGGAAUUAGCCCUCGGGUCGUCCGAAGACAAGGUAACUCCAAAGUUCGGUUUAGCCGAACACAUGCUUCAGAUGUGUUGGAAUAUGCCUCACGGCUGCCCAUGGUAUUUUGAGUGCGAAAUUGUGUUGACGAGGCACGCGGAGCACAAAGGAUUUGGCGUGCCGUGGGGCGCAUAUCCCUAUUUGCGGCGAACGCACGCGGGUUCCCAUGACGGGGAGCGGGUUCGAGCCCGUUUACGGUUGUCGCCGGACUUUACGGCGAGUCUGCAUCAGGACCUGUAUGGGCCGGAUUGGUCAUCGGCCUCUAAGGCCGUAGUGUGCUCUUCGGUUCGAAGUGAGCGUUUUGUGUUGCCGUUGAUAGUUAUGACGCCCGAAGGACCAGGCAUCUUCAACUUGAGGUAUGCGUAAUGCGGGAUAAUACGUCUCCAACGUAUCUAUAAUUUUUUAUUGUUCCAUGCUAUUAUAUUAUCUGCUUUGGAUGUUUAAUGGGUUUUAAUAUGCUAUUUUAUAUUAUUUUUGGGACUAACCUAUUAACCGAGGACCUAGUGCCAGUUUCUAUUUUUUUACCUAUUUUAGAGUUUUGCAGAAAAGGAAUACCAAAUGGAGUCCAAACAGAAUGAAACCUUCGCGAUGAUCUUUCUUGGACCGAAAGCAAACCAGAAGACUUGGAGAAGAAGUCCGAGAGGCAACAAGGUGGCCACGAGGCAGGUGGGCGCGCCCCCAUCCUCGUGGACCCCUCAUAGCUCCCCUGACCUAGUUCCUUCGCCUAUAUAUAUUCUUAUACCCUAAAAACACCAGGGGGAGCCACAAAAACACUUUUCCACCGCCGCAACCUUCUGUACCCGUGAGAUCCCAUCUUGGGGCCUUUCCCGGUGAUCUGCCGGAGGGGGGUUCGAUCACGGAGGGCUUCUACAUCAACACCAUUACCUCUCCGAUGAUGCGUGAGUAGUUUACCACAGACCUUCGGGUCCAUAGUUAUUAGCUAGAUGGCUUCUUCUCCCUCUUUGAUUCUCAAUACAAAGUUCUCCUCGAUGUUCUUGGAUAUCUAUUCAAUGUAAUACUCUUUUGCGGUGUGUUUGCUGAGAUCCGAUGAAUUGUGGAUUUAGGAUCAAGAUUAUCUAUGAAUAUUAUUUGGUUCUUCUCUGAAUUCUUAUAUGCAUGGUUUGAUAUCUUUGCAAGUCUCUUUGAAUUAUCGGUUUAGUUUGGCCUACUAGAUUGAUCUUUCUUGCAAUGGGAGAAGUGUUUAGCUUUGGGUUCAAUCUUGCGGUGUCCUUUCCCAGUGAUAGUAGGGGAAGCAAGGCACGUAUUGUAUUGUUGCCAUCGAGGAUAACAAGAUGGGGUUUUCAUCAUAUUGCUUGAGUUAAUUCCUCUACAUCAUGUCAUCUUGCUUAAUGCGUUACUCCGUUCUUAUGAACUUAAUACUCUAGAUGCAAGCUGGAUAGCGGUCGAUGUGUAGAGUAAUAGUGGUAGAUGCUGGCAGGAGUCGGUCUACUUGACACGGACGUGAUGCCUAUGUUCAUGAUCAUUGCAUUAGAUGUCAUCAUAAUUAUGCUUUUUUCUAUCAAUUGCUCGACAGUAAUUUGUUCACCCACCGUAAUAUAUGCUAUCUCGAGAGAAGCCACUAGUGAAACCUAUAGCCCCCGGGUCUCUUUUCCAUAUUAUUGAAUCUCGUUUACAUCUUGCUAGUUUUUGAUCUAUUAUUUUGCAAUCUUUACUUUCCAAUCUAUACACCCAAAAAUACAAAAAAUAUUUACUUUAUCGUUUAUCUAUCUCUACCAGAUCUCACUUUUGCGAGUGACUGUGAAGGGAUUGACAACCCCUUUAUAGCGUUGGUUGCAAGUUCUUGAUUGUUUGUGCAGGUAUUCGGUGAUUUGUGCAUCGUCCUACUUGAUUGAUACCUUGGUUCUCAAAACCGAGGGAAAUACGUACGCUACUUUGCUGCAUCACCCUUUCCUCUACAAGGGAAAACCAAUGCAAGCUCAAGAGGUAGCAAGAAAGAUUUCUGGUGCUGUUGCCAAGGAGAUCUACGUCAAGUCAAGCCAUACAAAGUACCCAUCAUAAACUCUUCUCCCUUGCAUUACAUUAUUCGCCAUUCGCCUCUCUUUUUCCUCUCCCCCACUUCUAAAACAAUUUUUCGAAAACCUUUGCCUGUUUCUUUGCCCCUCUUCCGUUCGCCUCUUUUCGCUUGCUUCUUGUGUGUUAGAUCGCUUGAUUCGCCUUCAUGGCUAGUCCUCCUAUUGUUGUUAGUACUCCCGAUAAUAAAGUUCUCAAUUUUAAACAAAGGGAGGGAGAAAAUCUAAAAGAUGCUUGGUAUAGAAUUUGCAAUGCUCAAAAUAGAUCUACUUGAAAGCAAUCUACCUCCGUUCUUCUCCGCAAUUUUUGAAGGAAAUAUGCCCCAGAGGCAAUAAUAAAGUUAUUAUUUAUUUCCUUAUUUCAUGAUAAAUGUUUAUCAUUCAUGUUAGAAUUGUAUUAACCGAGAACUUAGUACAGGUGUGAAUACAUAGACAGAACAAAGUGUCCCUUGUAUGCCUUUACUUGACUAGCUCAUUAAUCAAAGAUGAUUAAGUUUUCUAACCAUAGACAUGUGUUGUCAUUUGAUGAACGGGAUCACAUCAUUAGGAGAAUGAUGUGAUGGACAUGACCCAUAUGUUAGCUUAGCAUUAUGAUCGUUACAGUUUCAUUGCUACUGCUUUCUUCAUGACUUAUACGUGUUCCUCAUACUAUGAGAUUAUGCAACUCCCGAAUACCAGAGGAACACCUUGUGUGCUAUCAAACGUCACAACAUAAAUGGGUGAUUAUAAAGAUGCUCUACAGGUGUCUCCGAAGGUGUUUGUUGGGUUGGCAUAGAUCGAGAUUAGGAUUUGUCACUCCGUGUAUCAGAGAGGUAUCUCUGGGCCCUCUCAGUAAAGCUCAUCACUAUAUCACUUGCCAGCAAUGUGAGUAAUGAGUUAGUUAUGGGGUGAAGCAUUACUGAACGAGUAAAGAGACUUUUCGGUAACGAGAUUGAACUAGGUAUGAUGAUACUGACAAUCGAAUCUCAGGCAAGUAACAUACCAAUGACAAAGGGAACAACAUAUGUUGUUAUGCGGUUUGACCGAUAAAGAUCUUCAAAGAAUAUGUAGGAGCCUGAAAGGAUCGAUAUGGUUGACUNNNNNNNNNNNNNNNNNNNNNNNNNNNNNNNNNNNNNNNNNNNNNNNNNNNNNNNNNNNNNNNNNNNNNNNNNNNNNNNNNNNNNNNNNNNNNNNNNNNNNNNNNNNNNNNNNNNNNNNNNNNNNNNNNNNNNNNNNNNNNNNNNNNNNNNNNNNNNNNNNNNNNNNNNNNNNNNNNNNNNNNNNNNNNNNNNNNNNNNNNNNNNNNNNNNNNNNNNNNNNNNNNNNNNNNNNNNNNNNNNNNNNNNNNNNNNNNNNNNNNNNNNNNNNNNNNNNNNNNNNNNNNGGGGGGGGGGGUGAAUAGGCAACUAACAAUUUUUAAGCUUUUCUUUACCAAUUUAAACCUUGCAACAAAAUAGGUUGUCUAGAUAUGCAACUAUGUGAACAACCUAUAUGAUGCAAUGACAACUAGCACACAAGCAAGUAAUAGAUACAACACAAGUAAGCUUGCAAAAGUAAAGGCACGAAAUAACCAAGAGUGGAGCUGUUGGAGACGAGGAUGUGUUACUGAAGUUCCUUCCGUUUAAAGGGAAGUACGUCUCCGUUAGAGCGGUGUGGAGGCACAAUGCUCCCCAAGAAGCCACUAGGGCCACCGUAAUCUCCUCACGCCCUCACACAAUGCGAGAUGCCGUGAUUCCACUAUUGGUGCCCUUGAAGGCGGCGACCGAACCUUUACAAACAAGGUUUGGGCAAUCUCCACAACAAUUGGAGGCUCCCAACAACACCACGAAGCUUCACCACAAUGGAGUAUGGCUUCGAGGUGACCUCAACUGUCUAGGGUGCUCAAGCACCCAAGAGUAACAAGAUCUGCUAGGGAUAAGUGGGGGGAAUCGAAUAUCUCUUGCUGGAAGUGUAGAUCGGGCCCUAGUCACCCAAUCCCGAGCAAAUCAACAAGUUUGAUUGGCUAGGGAGAGAGAUCGGGCGAAAAUGGAGCUUGGAGCAACAAUGGAGCUUAGAGGUGGAAGAGGUAGUCAACUAGAGGUAGGAGACGCCCCUUUUAUAGUCAAGGAAGAGAUCCAACCGUUAUCCACUUAGAUCAGCCUGCGACAUGCGGUACUACCGCUCCAGGGGCACAGUACUACCGCAAGGCCACGCGGUACUACCGUGGGGGGCCACGGUACUACCGCGGCAGCUGCAGAGACUAUACCAUAGGCAGAACUACCGCGAGCGCGGUACUACCGCACCCACCCGCAGUACUACCGCGAGGCAGGUAAGGCAAAGUCUGGAAAUGGCACGGAUGAAUAAAAAUACAUCCGUGCCUACUUCCGCGGUUAAAGAGACGAUGCAAAUAUCCGUCACGGUACUACCAUCCGCAAGGCGCGGUACUACCAUGUGGGUGCGGAUGUAAAAAAUUACAUCCGCCCCUACUACCAUGAAGCGACGGCACUAGGCCAGGGAACCACGGUACUACAACUCGGGGGGAGCGGUACUACCGUGGGCACCCCCGGUACUACCGCCCUCGGCGUGCGGUACUACCGUGUGGGCGCGGAUGUAAAAAAUUACAUCCGCGCCUACUACCGCGAUGCAGCGGUACUUGGCCUAGGAGCCACGGUACUACGACUCUGAGGGAGUGGUACUACCGUGGGCUCCUGCGGUACUACCGCGCAUGGGCACGGUACUACCGUGAGUGCCUACAGUACUACCGCUCUAGGGAGCAGUACUACCGCAAGCUCAGCAACAGUAGUCCAGACACUCACAUAGAGGAUAGACGGGGAAUGCUCCAAAGUGCAAGGGAAAGGAGGAGACAAUGAAAGAAACGUGUACGUGAUGAUUCCUCCUGAACCUUUCCGACGCGGACCCCCUCUUAAUAGUACGGUUCUCCUACGACUCAAAUCCACCAAAAAGAAACAUAGAACAACGCCGUCUUCAAUAGUCUUCGAGGGGAACCGAAUCGUCUCGUGCCUAGUGAUGAAGCGUCUGAGAAACUCAAGGCACACGAUUAGUCCGCAAAAGCAUUGUCAUCAAUCACCAAAACACCUAAGGGAUAAUAUGCCCUUACAAUCUCCCCCUUUUUGGUGGAUUGAUGACAUUACGGGAUUUGCACAUAGAUGAGAUAAUAUUGAGCAAAGGCAAACCCCUCCUCUCUAGAAUAUAGACAGGCUCCCCCUAGAUGUGUGCAAUCUAGAUGGAUGCUUUGGACUGCAUAGCACACAAACUAGGAUCAACACCCCCCCUAUAUUUUAGAGACAAAGGCAUGAUAACUAACAUCUAAGCAGAGCAUAGCACAAAGGUAGCACAAUAUAUCACAAGCUCGCAAAGAUAGAUAGAGUGCAUAUGUCUUACACCAUAUGAAGUAAAGCAACCCAAAGCAACUAAAAUGAGGUUCAAACGAGGUUCAAACGAGAAAGCAGCAAACACACCAAACACGAACAACGACACCCGACUCGCAAAUCCCUACUCUCUCUCCCCCUUUGGCAUCGAGACGCCAAAAAGGCAAAGAGGACACCUACACACAAGGGGUGGCUCUAGCAGGGAACUCAUCCCAACGCUCCUCGUCAGACUCCUCGGCGGCAGGGAUGGUCUCCUCGACGUCCUCCUCAGAAUCAGUCCACCUGUAGCCUUGCUUCUCCAUCCACUCGGCCUCUAGAGUGAUGCGAUCCUCAGAACCACCAGACACAUCCUCGCCAUACAACUACAAGAUCUUCUUGUCCCGGCGGCGACUCUCCUUAGAUGCCACGUGAGUCCUGUACUACCCCUUGGCUUGCAUGCAGAAAAGAGUCUUCAUCUUGUCCUUCAGCUUCUUGGCCCACGAAGGCAUAGAGGAACUCUGGGAAGGCCUAGCAGCACGGCCCUCAGCAACAUCCUUGGCGCCAGCAUCCUCCUCAUCAACAGCAGCCCUAGAAGCAGACGCCUCAGCACGAGUAGUAGUGUUGGCCCAGUUGGGCUUGACACGGAGACAGAUGGGAUCAUGGCGAAUCCAGUCUGGAGCAAGGAACUCCUCACCAGGCAACAUCUUCUCCCAAGUCUUCGAGAUCAGCAGAAACAGAUAAGGCCCAUAGAUAGGCACCUUGCGGUUGAACACCGCAAACCGAAGCUCACACCACGUGAUGUGUGAGACAUCAAGUGGCUGAGUCUGAGACAAAUGAGCCUCCUCGCAAAUGAGCAUCAUAUCCACCAUAUAGGCAUGAACCUUGUCCUUGUCACCAAUGCGAGGGAACAAGGAGUUGCGGAAGAUGCGAUACAUGAUAUCCAUAAAAGAGUUGAGCACCAACCCCGUCUUGCCAUUGGGAAGCGCCUUCUCAACAUAGUAUGGCUGAAGCUUGUCCUUGUUAGCAGACUCAGGAUUAGCAUGGGGGCGAACACCCACGGGAGUGUUGAGCUCGUCAUCAGGAACGUGGAGCAGGUCCAUGAACUCCUUCCAAGUAGUACUCAUCUUACGGCCAUUGGUCAUCCAGGUCAUCCUUCGCUCCUCAUCAUGGUGAAAGUAUACUGAGGCAAAGAACUGACAGAUGAGCUCAGGGUCAUAGUCAAGGUGAAAAGAGAUCACAUGUUCAAUACCAAACUGCUCCACCAGGUCCAGAGCUUCUCCAAAGUACUCACGAUGCUUGUCCUUCCUCAGGUGAUGCAUUUCUAUCCAUUUGACAUCCACAUAGGUAUUCUGAUGACAUCCAGAUAAGUGAGAGUCUGUUGCUUGUUCCAAAACAGCUCACAACCUUUGAUAGUAGCACGAGGGUUCACAUACGGGUUGAGCUGCCUGAGACGGACAAACUCAGAUUGGGGUAUCUCGUCCAUGCCCUUAGCGGGUUCCUUGUGCUUGCUAGCUGAUGUCUUGACAUGGCACUUGGGGGCAGUGGAGCCCUCUGGUGCUUCACCUGGAUUGCGCAGACGCUUGGAGCCUGUGUCACGACUGGGAUUGGAACGACGAGAGCCACCACCUGAGACACAAACACAAAACACCCACGAAACGCAAAAAGGAUCAAUGCAAAGACCACGACAAAGCACAAGAAACACAUAGAAAGUAUACGUGAAAGUUGCCAUGAGAUAGAUGUGAUCCACGGUAGUACUGCCAGAGCCUGCGGUACUAAAAUUUUAGUACCGCUCCAAGUCGCGGUAGUAUCGUGCGAGGUCACGGUAGUACCGUGGUGGGAGUGGUAGUAAAACCUUAGUGCCGCAGCGAGUGCGGUAGUACCGCGCCAGACGGGCGGUAGUACCCGACAAGCGGUAGUACCGCGCCAGACGGGCGGUAGUACCGCACCGCUUCAGAUCCAAACGACAAUUCAAAUCUGAAAAGAACCGCGAAACCACGGCGGUGCUACGGUGAUCAAAUCUAGCACAGGACAAAAAUACAAGUAUAAUUCCUGCGCAAAGCUACUCUCCUUCAUCAUACUCUUGCAUAGAUUUAGCCUAAGAAUCUUUAGAACACACAAGUCUCCCCCAAAAACCUAGAGGCAAAGAACACAACAAAAACGAGAAGGAGUUGGGGAAAGACCUUGGUCCAUAGCAAGAGCACGUGGUGGGGAACGAUCCCACCGGACUAAAUCAUGGGAGGGCAGCCGGAGGCGGAGAUCCGGUGACGAACGCCGGCCCCGUUCUUGAGCGUGGGAGAGAGAGAAAUGAUGUGGAGGAACUGGCGAAUGGGUAUGGGGGAGUUAGAACUCCCCCUGCCCGUCCUUAUCCCCACGCGUCUGAGACGUCGCGGUAGUACCGCAUGUCAUCACGGUAGUACCGCUUGGGCGGAAGUACCGCACCAAAGCGGUAGUACCGCUCACCCAGGCGGCAGUAAAAAAUUACUGCCGCGUGGGGGGGGGGGUGGGGGGGCGAUAGUACCGUGCUCCCCUCACACGGUAGUACCGUAGCAGGCUGCGGUAGUACCGUGAGCUCAAGAAAACACAGGUUUCAACAAAAGACGAAGGUCUUUGCAAUGAAACUUUUAGCACAAAGGAUACCACAAGAACACACACAACCCAAAGGAAGAAAGACAACUAGAAACCACCAUGCGACACAACCUCUCAAAAGGAGAGGGCGGUGGCCGGAGCCACCUAUGUUUGAGUUAGUUGGUAUGGCACCGCAAAGAAUUAUCCUUGGGCCCAUGACCAAAACUCGUCUUUGGAGCACAAGUACCAUAAAAAAUGGCUAAUGUGAAAGAGUUGAUCUAUUUAUGCAUAAUGGGGGGAGGGAGAGUUCAUUGAGAGAACAACACCCCCCUAUGUCCAUGCCUACAUCUAAACUAGACAACAAGUUGAGUGUGGUGGGGGGUGCAAGGGUUCAAGUCACAUUGCUCGAAUCAAUGAUAUUUAGCUCAUGCCGUAACUCGCGGAAUCUUGCUUCAUCCAAGGGCUUCGUGAAAAUAUCUGCAAGGUUAUCAUGAGUGUUGACAUACUUGAGCUCGAUCUCCCCUCGCCUAAUGUGAUCCCGGAUGAAGUGAUACUGUAUCUCAAUAUGCUUCGUCUUGAAGUGUUGCACCGGAUUGAGAGAAAUCUUGAUGGCACUUUCAUUGUCACACCAAAGAGGCACUUUGUCACACAUGACACCAUACUCCUUUAAAGUUUGCCUCAUCCAUAAGAGUUUAGCACAACAACUACCGGCCGCCACAUAUUCCGCUUCGGUGGACGAGAGAGACACACAACUUUGCUUCUUGGAAGACCAACUCACCAAAGAGCAACCAAGGAAUUGGCACCCUCCGGAGGUGGACUUCCUAUCCACUUUGUCUCCCGCCCAAUUGGAAUCCGUAAAUCCUUCAAGCUUGAAGUUUGCCCCUCUUGGGUACCAUAAGCCAAAGUUUGGGUAUGAGCCAAAUAUCGAAAGAUUCGCUUGACCGCCACAUAGUGACUUUCCUUCGGUGCGGUUUGAAACCAUGCACACAUUCCCACACUCAACAUGAUAUCCGGUCUAGAUGCAGAAAGGUAAAGCAAGGAGCCAAUCAUGGAGCGAUAUACCUUUUGAUCCACCGCUUUACCAUUGGGAUCAAUGUCAAGUUGGCACUUGAUAGGCGUUGGAGUAGAAGCCGGCUUGACAUCACUUAGCUUGAAUCUUUUUAGCAUGUCUUGAGUAUAUUUGGCUUGGUUGAUGAAGGUUCCUUCUCUUCUUUGUUUGAUAUCAAAACCAAGGAAGAACUUCAACUCUCCCAUCAAAGACAUCUUGAACUUGGAGGUCAUGAGAGCGGCAAAUUUCUCAUUGAAAGCUUUGUUAGGGGAACCAAAGAUAAUAUCAUCAACAUAUAGUUGGCA
rnacentral:lncRNA from 1 species